rnacentral:misc_RNA from 1 species
UUUUGAUGUUUCUUUCAAUGAAAUUGGAUCCUCGCAUGGAUUGUCUAACGUCUCCAGUACUCUGAAGGAACUCUACGUAUCAAAAAAUGAAGUUACUAUCAUGGAGGAGAUUGACCAACUUUAUCAGUUGCAAAUUCUUGAACUUGGUUCCAACAGAUUAAGGAUCAGCACUCAUAUAUCUUAGCAAUGUCUUAUUUAUUCAAAAUUAAGAAUUGCAGGCACAGGCUUCUUUCUGUCCAACUGCCCUUUUCUUUGGUUAGUCAACUGUCCAUUUGUAUCGUGUGAAGAAUGGUAUGACACACACAUGGUGCUGCUAUACCCUCUUGCUCUUGCAACUGUGUCCAGGCCAAUGGAAAAGUGGGAGAUGUUUGUUGGAGCAUGCUCUUAUUCUAAAAACAAUCAUGUCGGUGCUUCAGGUAAUGGAGAAUCUGCGAAAUUUAACAAAUUUACAAGAGCUGUGGCUGGGACGCAAUCGUAUCAAAACAGCUAACUUAUGUGGUCUGAAAUGCAUCAAG